rnacentral:rRNA from 1 species
AUUGAACGCUGGCGGCAGGCCUAACACAUGCAAGUCGAACGAGUGGCGGACGGGUGAGUAAUGUCUGGGAAACUGCCUGAUGGAGGGGGAUAACUACUGGAAACGGUAGCUAAUACCGCAUACCAUCAGAUGUGCCCAGUUGGGAUUAUCUAGUGGGGGGGGUAACGGCUCACCAAGGCGACGAUCCCUAGCUGGUCUGAGAGGAUGACCAGCCACACUGGAACUGAGACACGGUCCAGACUCCUACGGGAGGCAGCAGUGGGGAAUAUUGGACAAGGGGCGAAAGCCUGAUGCAGCCAUGCCGCGUGUAUGAAGAAGGCCUUCGGAUUGUAAAGUACUUUCAGCGGGGAGGCGUUACCCGCAGAAGAAGCACCGGCUAACUCCGUGCCAGCAGCCGCGGUAAUAC